UACGGAGGGUGCGAGCGUUGUCCGGAAUCACUGGGCGUAAAGGGCGCGUAGGCGGCGCGGGUAGUCAACGGUGAAAGCUUGGGGCUCAACCCCGAGUCGGCCGUCGAUACUCCCGUGCUUGAGCACUGUAGAGGCAGGUGGAAUUCCGGGUGUAGCGGUGGAAUGCGUAGAGAUCCGGAAGAACACCGGUGGCGAAGGCGGCCUGCUGGGCAGUAGCUGACGCUGAGGAGCGAAAGCGUGGGGAGCAAACAGG
rnacentral:rRNA from 1 species